UACGUAGGGGGCUAGCGUUGCCCGGAAUCAUUGGGCGUAAAGCGCGCGUAGGCGGCCCGGUAAGUCCGCUGUGAAAGUCAAAGGCUCAACCUUUGAAUGUCAGCGGAUACUGCCGGGCUAGAGUCCGGAAGAGGCGAGUGGAAUUCCUGGUGUAGCGGUGGAAUGCGCGGAUAUCAGGAGGAACACCAACGGCGAAGGCAGCUCGCUGGGACGGUACUGACGCUGAGGCGCGAAAGCGUGGGGAGCGAACAGG
rnacentral:rRNA from 1 species